CUAAGCUACAAAGUGCAUAUGGUGGAUGCCUUGGCGGACGCCGUUGAUGAAGGACGUGGUAAGCUGCGAUAAGCUUCGGGGAGGCGCAAACAGCCUUUGAUCCGGAGAUUUCCGAAUGGGGAAACCCUACUGGCCGUGAGGUCAGUAACCUUCACAUGAAUUCAUAGUGUGUUGGAGACAACCCAGGGAAGUGAAACAUCUCAGUACCUGGAGGAACAGAAAUCAAAUGAGAUUCCCUUAGUAGCGGCGAGCGAACGGGGAAUAGCCCAAACGAUGGGGGCGCAAGCUCCUGUCGGGUUGUAGGACUUAUCGGACCGUGAGGUCGGGAAGUCAAAAAUCCGUCUCUUAGUUGAACGGCUUGGAAAGGCCGGCCAAAGAAGGUGAGAGCCCUGUAAGCGAAAAGGGACGGACUUCCUGGAUAAGCUCCUGAGUACCACCGGGCACGUGAAAUCCGGUGGGAAUCUGGGGAGACCACUCUCCAAGGCUAAAUAUGAGCGUCCGACCGAUAGUGAACCAGUACCGCGAGGGAAAGGUGAAAAGUACCGCUGACGCGGAGUGAAAAGUACCUGAAGCCGUAUGCAUACAAGCAGUUCGAGCCCUAUGACCCUUUCGCAAGAUGGGGUAAUGGGUAAGAGCGUGCCUGUUGAAGAAUGAUCCGGCGAGUUAUUGGUGGUUGCAAGGUUAACUUGGCAGUCAAAAGCUGCCUGGGAAGCCGUAGCGAAAGCGAGUCUGAAUAGGGCGAUUAGUAGCCAUCAAUAGACCCGAAGCCAAGUGAUCUAACCCUGUCCAGGGUGAAGCCCUCUUAAUCGAGGGUGGAGGCCCGAAGUGUUGAGUGUUGAAAAACUCCUACAUGAGAUGGGGUUAGGGGCGAAAGGCCAAUCGAACUUGGUGAUAGCUGGUUCUCCCCGAAAUAGCUUUAGGGCUAGCCUCACGCGAUGACUUGAGGGGGUAGAGCACUGGAUAGUGUAGGGCCAAUAACCUUGGUUCCGAAGCUAACCAAACUCCGAAUACCUCAGGGUGAGCGUGGGAGUCAGUACACGAGGGCUAAGCUUCGUGGGCAAGAGGGGAACAUCCCAGACCGUCGAUCUAGGUCCCUAAGUACAUGCUAAGUGGUAAAGGUUGUGGAUUUGCUGAAACAGCUGGGAGGUUAGCUUAGAAGCAGCUAUCCUUUAAAGAGUGCGUAACAGCUCACCAGUCAAGCGAGUCUGCGCCGAAAAUGAUCGGGGCUAAAGCAUGUCACCGCAAUCACGGCUAUGCGAGUUCUACGGAAUUCGUAUGGGGUAGGGGAGCGUUCUGGACGGGACGAAGGCAUACCGUAAGGAGUGCUGGACUGUCCAGAAGUGAGAAUGUCGGAAUAAGUAGCGAUAUGAGGGGUGAGAAUCCUCUCCGCCGUAAGAGUAAGGUUUCCUUGAGCAACGUUCGUCGACUCAGGGUUAGUCGGACCUAAGCAGAGGCCGAAAGGCGUAUGUGAAGGACAUCAGGUUAAUAUUCCUGAACUAUGUUUGAAGCGUUAUCACCUAAGGAGGGACGCAGAAGAGUAAGCCAUCCUACGACUGGAAGUGUAGGUUCAAGGGCGUAGGCCUUUCCCGGCAAGCAAAUCUACCGGGAUAGCCGAGACCCGAAUACGAGGCUGGGGAAACCCGGUCGAAGUGGCCCAAUCCCGCUGCCAAGAAAAUCUUCGUAGGGAGUUUCAAGCAUAACCGUACCGCAAACCGACACAGGUACUCGAGUAGAAUAUACUAAGGCGCGCGAGCGAACUCUGGUUAAGGAACUAGGCAAACUGGUCCCGUAACUUCGGAAGAAGGGAUGCCUGCCGAUUUAACUCCGUACAGGGGAAGGAUUGGCGGGCCGCAGUGAAAUGGCUCUCGUGACUGUUUAACAAAAACACAGGACUCUGCUGAAAUCACAAGAUGAUGUAUAGGGUCUGAUGCCUGCCCGGUGCUGGAAGGUCACGGGGAGAUGUUAGUGCUCGCAAGAGUGCAAAGCAUUGAACCUAAGCCCCAGUAAACGGCGGCCGUAACUAUAACGGUCCUAAGGUAGCGAAAUUCCUUGUCGGGUAAGUUCCGACCUGCACGAAUGGCACAACAAAGAGGGCGCUGUCUCAACCAGAGGCUCGGUGAAAUUGGGGUGCAAGUGAAGACGCUUGCUGCCCGCGGCUAGACGAAAAGACCCCGUGAAGCUUUACUGUAUCUUGAUAAUGAACUACGGGAGUGGAUGCGUAGAAUAGGUGGGAGCCUUUGAAGGUUGCCUUUUGGGGUGACUGGAGGCACCAGUGAAAUACCACUCUUCCGGUCUUGUGGUUCUAACUACGUCCCUUAUAUCAGGGCGUAGGACAUUGUCAGGUGGGCAGUUUAACUGGGGCGGUUGCCUCCUAAAGAGUAACGGAGGCGUACAAAGGUUCCCUCAGCACGUAUAGAAAUCGUGCCUCGAAUGCAAGGGUAGAAGGGAGCUUGACUGCGAGACGGACAUGUCGAGCAGGUGCGAAAGCAGGUCCUAGUGAUCCGGUGGUUGAAUGUGGAAUUGCCAUCGCUCAACGAAUAAAAGCUACUCCGGGGAUAACAGGCUUAUCGGGUCCAAGAGUCCAUAUCGACGACCCGGUUUGGCACCUCGAUGUCGGCUCAUCGCAUCCUCCCGCUGAAGUAGGUGGGAAGGGUUUGGCUGUUCGCCAAUUAAAGCGGUACGUGAGCUGGGUUCAGUACGUCGUGAGACAGUACGGUCUCUAUCUACC
rnacentral:rRNA from 1 species